UAUCCGUAGGUGAACCUGCGGAUGGAUCAUUAUCACGUAUCCACGUUUAUCAACCAUUGUGAACUGUUCUUACCUUUGAGAAGAAUUUUGUAAGUGAUUGGGGAGGAAAAAAGUUUGAGAUUUAUUUCUCUAUCUUUUUUUCUUUCUUCUUCUCAAAGUGUAUUUAAUCACUUCAAUUCAUUAACACUUUAACCAAAACUAUUAAACUCAUGUCUUAUCUAUUUUAUGCUCUUCACGGAGAUAACAUUCUAUUACGAAACAUAAGAAAAACUCUUAGCAACGGAUAUCUUGGUUCUCACAUCGAUGAAGAACGCAGC
rnacentral:misc_RNA from 1 species